GCGCCGGUAGCUCAGCUGGAUAGAGCACCAGGCUUCGAACCUGGUGGUCGGGGGUUCGAGUCCCUCCCGGCGCGCCA
rnacentral:tRNA from 3 species